CCUACGGGUGGCAGCAGUGAGGAAUAUUGGUCAAUGGACGAGAGUCUGAACCAGCCAAGUAGCGUGAAGGAUGACUGCCCUAUGGGUUGUAAACUUCUUUUAUAUGGGAAUAAAAUGUUCCACGUGUGGGAUUUUGUAUGUACCAUAUGAAUAAGGAUCGGCUAACUCCGUGCCAGCAGCCGCGGUAAUACGGAGGAUCCGAGCGUUAUCCGGAUUUAUUGGGUUUAAAGGGAGCGUAGGUGGAUUGUUAAGUCAGUUGUGAAAGUUUGCGGCUCAACCGUAAAAUGGCAGUUGAAACUGGCAGUCUUGAGUACAGUAGAGGUGGGCGGAAUUCGUGGUGUAGCGGUGAAAUGCUUAGAUAUCACGCAGAACUCCGAUUGCGAAGGCAGUUCACUGGACUGCAACUGACACUGAGGCUCGAAAGUGUGGGUAUCAAACAGGAUUAGAUACCCCUGUAGUC
rnacentral:rRNA from 1 species